AACGAACGCUGGCGGCAGGCUUAACACAUGCAAGUCGAGCGCCCCGCAAGGGGAGCGGCAGACGGGUGAGUAACGCGUGGGAAUCUACCCAUCUCUACGGAAUAACGCAUGGAAACGUGUGCUAAUACCGUAUACGUCCUUCGGGAGAAAGAUUUAUCGGAGAUGGACGAGCCCGCGUUGGAUUAGCUAGUUGGUGGGGUAAAGGCCUACCAAGGCGACGAUCCAUAGCUGGUCUGAGAGGAUGAUCAGCCACACUGGGACUGAGACACGGCCCAGACUCCUACGGGAGGCAGCAGUGGGGAAUAUUGGACAAUGGGCGCAAGCCUGAUCCAGCCAUGCCGCGUGAGUGAUGAAGGCCCUAGGGUUGUAAAGCUCUUUCACCGGUGAAGAUAACGACGGUAACCGGAGAAGAAGCCCCAGCUAACUUCGUGCCAGCAGCCGCAGUAAGAC
rnacentral:rRNA from 1 species